AAUAAGGUGCAAAGGGAAAUUAACUUUCCCCUGCGCUGAAGGGCUCCAUCAAGCUGUGGGUGGAGCUUCUGCACAUUACGGGACUCACACAGCGAGACAGUUUCACUUUCACUGAAGGAUGCUUCACGUUCCUCCUCAUAAGCAGAAGCUACCACAGCCAUGAUCACUCCGAAACACGCAGGUGGUUUUCAGACACAUCUGGCAGACACCCAAUGACGAGAGCACCAUGGUAUCACGAUUCAAAAUGAGGGAUUAAGGGACGACCCCCGCGAAGACCGUGACUGUCACCCUGACAGGCAGAAUGGUGAGGAAUCGUUAACCUCGGCAUUGAUACCGCGGCAUCUACGCCAAAGCCAGUACGCCUCAUUUGCCCGAAGUAGGUAAUGAUUUUAUAACAGAACGACUAA